rnacentral:precursor_RNA from 15 species
GGAUAUACCCAAUAAAUUCUCCACCUGCCCUAUUUGUACCAGAUGCUCCUUUUUCUGUAUUGUCAGAAAGAGCAUCCUGUGCAAAAGAGGUUGGUGGAGGCAAAAUACCACAUCUAGAA